AUGUCAGGAGGUAGGCAGACAUAUUGGUGCUUCCAGUGUAGACAGCGGGUUAGGCCGCGUGGACGGGAAAUGGAGUGUCCUUACUGUGAUGCUGGCUUUGUGGCUGAAAUGGAUGAUGUCGAUGCUCUCAUGAGCCAGUUUGUUGGGAUGUAUAGUGAUUUUCAUCGUGACCCAAGGUUUGGGAUCAUGGAAGCAAUGUCUACCGUGAUGCGACAUGGAAUGGGGAGCAUGAAUCGAGAGGCUGAUGUAAGAGGAAGGCCAAGCAUAUUAUCUGACCUGGAGAUGGAAUUUGGUUCAGGGCCAUGGUUGCUCUUCCGUGGCCAGCUCCCUGGUCAUCUCUCAGAGGCCAAUAAUGGUUUCGACGUUUUCGUCAAUGGACGCCGUGGUGUUGGCACGCGGAGGGCAGAUGUUGCAGAUUACUUUGUUGGGCCUGGAUUAGAAGAUCUAAUUGAGCAGUUGACUCAUAAUGAUCGUCGAGGGCCACCACCUGCCUCUCAGUCAUCGAUAGAUGCCAUGCCUAGUGUUAGGAUCACUGCUAGGCAUCUCACUGGAGACUCGCAUUGCCCUGUCUGCAAGGACAAGUUUGAACUGGAAUCGGAAGCAAGAGAGAUGCCAUGCAAGCAUUUAUACCACUCUGAUUGCAUACUUCCUUGGCUAGAACAACACAAUUCCUGUCCUGUUUGCCGAUAUGAGCUGCCAACACAGAGCUCUAGUGGUGCCAGCUGCUCACGCUCAAGAUCAACCAACCAAAAUGACAGUUCAAGCAGCUCAAGUAGCAGUGGGAGAACCAGUGGGCGUCAGAGAAGGAAUCCGUUCUCGUUCCUAUGGCCUUUCCGCUCAUCAAGUUCUAGCACUGGUUCUCGUUAG
rnacentral:rRNA from 1 species